rnacentral:rRNA from 1 species
GGGUUGUGAGGUUAAGCGACUAAGCGUACACGGUGGAUGCCCUGGCAGUCAGAGGCGAUGAAGGACGUGCUAAUCUGCGAUAAGCGUCGGUAAGGUGAUAUGAACCGUUAUAACCGGCGAUUUCCGAAUGGGGAAACCCAGUGUGUUUCGACACACUAUCAUUAACUGAAUCCAUAGGUUAAUGAGGCGAACCGGGGGAACUGAAACAUCUAAGUACCCCGAGGAAAAGAAAUCAACCGAGAUUCCCCCAGUAGCGGCGAGCGAACGGGGAGCAGCCCAGAGCCUGAAUCAGUGUGUGUGUUAGUGGAAGCGUCUGGAAAGGCGCGCGAUACAGGGUGACAGCCCCGUACACAAAAAUGCACAUGCUGUGAGCUCGAUGAGUAGGGCGGGACACGUGGUAUCCUGUCUGAAUAUGGGGGGACCAUCCUCCAAGGCUAAAUACUCCUGACUGACCGAUAGUGAACCAGUACCGUGAGGGAAAGGCGAAAAGAACCCCGGCGAGGGGAGUGAAAAAGAACCUGAAACCGUGUACGUACAAGCAGUGGGAGCACGCUUAGGCGUGUGACUGCGUACCUUUUGUAUAAUGGGUCAGCGACUUAUAUUCUGUAGCAAGGUUAACCGAAUAGGGGAGCCGAAGGGAAACCGAGUCUUAACUGGGCGUUAAGUUGCAGGGUAUAGACCCGAAACCCGGUGAUCUAGCCAUGGGCAGGUUGAAGGUUGGGUAACACUAACUGGAGGACCGAACCGACUAAUGUUGAAAAAUUAGCGGAUGACUUGUGGCUGGGGGUGAAAGGCCAAUCAAACCGGGAGAUAGCUGGUUCUCCCCGAAAGCUAUUUAGGUAGCGCCUCGUGAACUCAUCUCCGGGGGUAGAGCACUGUUUCGGCAAGGGGGUCAUCCCGACUUACCAACCCGAUGCAAACUGCGAAUACCGGAGAAUGUUAUCACGGGAGACACACGGCGGGUGCUAACGUCCGUCGUGAAGAGGGAAACAACCCAGACCGCCAGCUAAGGUCCCAAAGUCAUGGUUAAGUGGGAAACGAUGUGGGAAGGCCCAGACAGCCAGGAUGUUGGCUUAGAAGCAGCCAUCAUUUAAAGAAAGCGUAAUAGCUCACUGGUCGAGUCGGCCUGCGCGGAAGAUGUAACGGGGCUAAACCAUGCACCGAAGCUGCGGCAGCGACACUGUGUGUUGUUGGGUAGGGGAGCGUUCUGUAAGCCUGUGAAGGUGUACUGUGAGGUAUGCUGGAGGUAUCAGAAGUGCGAAUGCUGACAUAAGUAACGAUAAAGCGGGUGAAAAGCCCGCUCGCCGGAAGACCAAGGGUUCCUGUCCAACGUUAAUCGGGGCAGGGUGAGUCGACCCCUAAGGCGAGGCCGAAAGGCGUAGUCGAUGGGAAACAGGUUAAUAUUCCUGUACUUGGUGUUACUGCGAAGGGGGGACGGAGAAGGCUAUGUUGGCCGGGCGACGGUUGUCCCGGUUUAAGCGUGUAGGCUGGUUUUCCAGGCAAAUCCGGAAAAUCAAGGCUGAGGCGUGAUGACGAGGCACUACGGUGCUGAAGCAACAAAUGCCCUGCUUCCAGGAAAAGCCUCUAAGCAUCAGGUAACAUCAAAUCGUACCCCAAACCGACACAGGUGGUCAGGUAGAGAAUACCAAGGCGCUUGAGAGAACUCGGGUGAAGGAACUAGGCAAAAUGGUGCCGUAACUUCGGGAGAAGGCACGCUGAUAUGUAGGUGAAGCGACUUGCUCGUGGAGCUGAAAUCAGUCGAAGAUACCAGCUGGCUGCAACUGUUUAUUAAAAACACAGCACUGUGCAAACACGAAAGUGGACGUAUACGGUGUGACGCCUGCCCGGUGCCGGAAGGUUAAUUGAUGGGGUUAGCGGUAACGCGAAGCUCUUGAUCGAAGCCCCGGUAAACGGCGGCCGUAACUAUAACGGUCCUAAGGUAGCGAAAUUCCUUGUCGGGUAAGUUCCGACCUGCACGAAUGGCGUAAUGAUGGCCAGGCUGUCUCCACCCGAGACUCAGUGAAAUUGAACUCGCUGUGAAGAUGCAGUGUACCCGCGGCAAGACGGAAAGACCCCGUGAACCUUUACUAUAGCUUGACACUGAACAUUGAGCCUUGAUGUGUAGGAUAGGUGGGAGGCUUUGAAGUGUGGACGCCAGUCUGCAUGGAGCCGACCUUGAAAUACCACCCUUUAAUGUUUGAUGUUCUAACGUGGACCCGUGAUCCGGGUUGCGGACAGUGUCUGGUGGGUAGUUUGACUGGGGCGGUCUCCUCCUAAAGAGUAACGGAGGAGCACGAAGGUUGGCUAAUCCUGGUCGGACAUCAGGAGGUUAGUGCAAUGGCAUAAGCCAGCUUGACUGCGAGCGUGACGGCGCGAGCAGGUGCGAAAGCAGGUCAUAGUGAUCCGGUGGUUCUGAAUGGAAGGGCCAUCGCUCAACGGAUAAAAGGUACUCCGGGGAUAACAGGCUGAUACCGCCCAAGAGUUCAUAUCGACGGCGGUGUUUGGCACCUCGAUGUCGGCUCAUCACAUCCUGGGGCUGAAGUAGGUCCCAAGGGUAUGGCUGUUCGCCAUUUAAAGUGGUACGCGAGCUGGGUUUAGAACGUCGUGAGACAGUUCGGUCCCUAUCUGCCGUGGGCGCUGGAGAACUGAGGGGGGCUGCUCCUAGUACGAGAGGACCGGAGUGGACGCAUCACUGGUGUUCGGGUUGUCAUGCCAAUGGCACUGCCCGGUAGCUAAAUGCGGAAGAGAUAAGUGCUGAAAGCAUCUAAGCACGAAACUUGCCCCGAGAUGAGUUCUCCCUGAC